GGGGUUGUGGCUCAGUGGUAGAGCGCUUGCCUCGCACACAGGAGGCCUGGGUUCGAACCUCAGCACCGCA
rnacentral:tRNA from 1 species